GAUGAACGCUAGCUACAGGCUUAACACAUGCAAGUCGAGGGGUCUUGAGGAAGCUUGCUUUCGAGAGACGACCGGCGCACGGGUGAGUAACGCGUAUCCAACCUGCCCUUCAUAUUGGGAUAGCCUUCCGAAAGGACGAUUAAUACCGAAUAACAUAGCGUGGUUGCCUGAUUCCUCUAUGAAAGCUCCGGCGAUGAAGGAUGGGGAUGCGUUCCAUUAGGUAGUAGGCGGGGUAACGGCCCACCUAGCCGACGAUGGAUAGGGGUCCUGAGAGGAAGGUCCCCCACACUGGAACUGAGACACGGUCCAGACUCCUACGGGAGGCAGCAGUGAGGAAUAUUGGUCAAUGGGCGCAAGCCUGAACCAGCCAAGUAGCGUGAAGGAAGACUGCCCUAUGGGUUGUAAACUUCUUUUAUACGGGAACAAACCCUGGUACGUGUACCAGAUUGCGUGUACCGUAUGAAUAAGCAUCGGCUAACUCCGUGCCAGCAGCCGCCGUAAUAC
rnacentral:rRNA from 1 species